ensembl:lincRNA Gm42949 predicted gene 42949
ACCAUUUGUGACAUUGGCAGGAACUGAGUCCAAAUGGAGAGACGAUGAACUCUCUCUCUGCCUCGUGAAAUUAAACAGAAUAGAACAGUGUCAUUUGGAAGCAAGGUCCACACCGUCCUGAGAAAAAGUAACGGAUGUUGUUUGGGGUGCAAAUUCCCAGUGGAGAGAAGGAUGUUUUUUGUGAAAUUCAUUGCUGGUAUUCCAAAAAAAAAAAAAAAUUUUUGCUUACUGGAGUGACUCCCUGCAGAGCCCAAUGAAACCAGACCUAAGGUGGCCACAUACAUCUCUCCUGAUGGUGACCCUCAUCUGCUCAGCAAACAUUCACUCAUUCCUGUUUCACCAAAGCUGAAGCUGAAGCCAGCAAGUUCUUUCCCACAGAGCAGUGCUGGCUGAGGUUUGCUCCUGAUACAGAGGUCAGUUCCCCAUCAUCAAAGAUGUCUGCAGAUGGGAGUUACACCAGAGGUCCCCCUGCUUUCCAACCAUAGAAGGUCACAGAGACGCUUUCUGAGGGACUCCAGCUGGAUCUCCAGCAACAUUUCUAAUGCAAGACGACAAGGAAUUCUGUCUCCUCAGGAAAAGCAGACAGCAGUGGUUCUGUGUGCAGAGGCAAGUACCAUGUUGUCAUGGAUCGCCCAGAAUGAAGUCUCAAAGCAGCAGUGGAAAUUCACCUCUCACAGGAUUCUACAGUUUUCAUAGUGAAAAUAUGCACAUGAUGACAACAGAGACAAUUUAACAUUGUACAGUAGGCUCAAGAUUUCAUCCAUUGCUAUAACUGUGGCUGUAUUACCUUAUCUAUUCUCAGGGUUUCCUGAUUCUCUUUGUACUAGUUCUUCAGUUAAUUAUACUUUUUUNNNNNNNGUUUUUCGAGACAGGUUUUCUCUGUUUAGCCCUGGCUGUCCUGGAACUCACUUUGUAGACCAGGCUGGCCUCGAACUCAGAAAUUUGCCUGCCUCUGGCUCCCAAGUGUUGGGAUUAAAGGCAUGUGCCACCACGCCAGGCUAUACGUUUUGAAGAAUUAUUCUUUAUAUUUAUCUAAUAUCCCAUUUACUUGUGUACCGUAGUAAACUUAAUUUUUCCUCUACUUCUCAUGCAGGUUGUUUGGAAAAUAUAACUUACAUGCACAGGUUAUCAGUUAAUUCACGAUGCAAAAUACUUAUAAUUAUUAAGACCACAUUUAUAAAUGUUAGAAAUUUAAACAUAAAUUUUAAAUAUUACCUUCUACAAGGUUGUAUCAUCAUCAUAAUUUUGUGUACACAUAGUGAUAAUUUGAGUAUUCUGAUUUUACAUACAUUUGCUGCUUUACUGGUAGCAAAUACUGGUAAUUAAUACACAUUAAUUUCCAUGUUUAUAUUUGAGUGGUUUUGUUCCAUUUUAUAAUACAAGAUUUGCAGAUUUCAAACUUAACCAGUGAAGACCUGUAAAAAAAAAACUAUGUUAUCAUUUUUAAAAUCACGUAUUUAAUCAUUCUAAUAUACCAUUUUUAAAUGAGUAAGUUUGAGCCAAGAUGAUAGCAAAUAGUGAUUAUUAAAGUCAUCCUCUGGUUAAUUAUUUCUUUUCUAAAAAUUAUUGACUUGUUUUUAUUAUGUAAACAUGUGUGUUCCUGCACACCUGUAAAUGGACCAUGUAAGGGAACAUGGUUGUAGAGACCAGCAGAAGGCAACAGAUCUCUUGGGAUUGGAGUUAGGAUUGUGAGCUGCCCUAUCAGGCUCUGAGAAUCAAAACAUGUCCUCCACAGAGGCAGCAAGCUCCCUUCUCUGCUGAGCCUUCCCUUUCACGCCCUUAUUUUGCCCACGGAAGACAGAAAUUACGAUUUGCCAUGUGUAUUGAAUAUUCUUCCCCAUCUCAGAAGGAUGCCUCCCCUUUACAUCCCUUGUCUACUGGUCUACUGUUUCUUUUCUGUUUUUUUUUCUUGAAGUAUGCAGAACUCAUUUGGCUGGAGUUAUUAAUAUGUCACCAUGUCCAUUCUCUCUGAGAGGUUCAUAAAUCAGCCAUAAAAUAUGUGAGCCUGCAGCAAACUUGGCGUGUAUUCUUAGCCCAGAAGCAGUUUUUCUACCUUUUUAAAUGAAAUAGUUCCAUUUUGUGAACUUACAAAGGGGUGACAUCUGAAUGUUUCUUGACUCUCUGUUUGUUAUGCCUCGUCCCUAGAAAGAUUUUGUUCCACGGGAAUAUAAAAUACAGAAAAUUCAGAAACCG